rnacentral:rRNA from 1 species
GACAGAGGGUGCAACCGUUGUUCGGAAUUACUGGGCGUAAAGCGUGUGUAGGUGGCUGCGUAAGUCGGAUGUGAAAGCCCUGGGCUCAACUCAGGAAGUGCACUCGAUACUGCGUAGCUCGAGUACCGGAGAGGUUGGUAGAAUUCUCGGUGUAGAGGUGAAAUUCGUAGAUAUCGAGAGGAAUACCUGUGGCGAAGGCGGCCAACUGGACGAGUACUGACACUGAGACACGAAAGCGUGGGGAGCAAGCAGG